AGUCGAACGAACUCUUCGGAGUUAGUGGCGCACGGGUGCGUAACGCGUGGGAAUCUGCCCUUGGGUACGGAAUAACUCAGAGAAAUUUGUGCUAAUACCGUAUAAUGUCUUCGGACCAAAGAUUUAUCGCCCAAGGAUGAGCCCGCGUAAGAUUAGCUAGUUGGUGGGGUAAAAGCCUACCAAGGCGACGAUCUUUAGCUGGUCUGAGAGGAUGAUCAGCCACACUGGGACUGAGACACGGCCCAGACUCCUACGGGAGGCAGCAGUGGGGAAUAUUGGACAAUGGGCGAAAGCCUGAUCCAGCAAUGCCGCGUGAGUGAUGAAGGCCUUAGGGUUGUAAAGCUCUUUUACCCGGGAUGAUAAUGACAGUACCGGGAGAAUAAGCUCCGGCUAACUCCGUGCCAGCAGCCGCGGUAAUACGGAGGGAGCUAGCGUUGUUCGGAAUUACUGGGCGUAAAGCGCGCGUAGGCGGUUUUUUAAGUCAGAGGUGAAAGCCCAGUGCUCAACACUGGAACUGCCUUUGAAACUGGAAAACUUGAAUCUUGGAGAGGUCAGUGGAAUUCCGAGUGUAGAGGUGAAAUUCGUAGAUAUUCGGAAGAACACCAGUGGCGAAGGCGACUGACUGGACAAGUAUUGACGCUGAGGUGCGAAAGCGUGGGGAGCAAGCAGGAUUAGAUACCCUGGUAGUCCACGCCGUAAACGAUGAUAACUAGCUGUCCGGGUUCAUAGAACUUGGGUGGCGCAGCUAACGCAUUAAG
rnacentral:rRNA from 1 species